rnacentral:rRNA from 1 species
UACGUAGGGUGCGAGCGUUGUCCGGAAUUACUGGGCGUAAAGAGCUCGUAGGUGGUUUGUCGCGUUGUCCGUGAAAACUCACAACUCAAUUGUGGGCGUGCGGGCGAUACGGGCGGACUGGAGUACUGCAGGGGAGACUGGAAUUCCUGGUGUAGCGGUGGAAUGCGCAGAUAUCAGGAGGAACACCGGUGGCGAAGGCGGGUCGCUGGGCAGUAACUGACGCUGAGGAGCGAAAGCGUGGGGAGCAAACAGG